ACGAACGCUGGCGGCACGCUUAACACAUGCAAGUCGAACGGAGUUAGAGAGCUUGCUUUUAAACUUAGUGGCGGACGGGUGAGUAACACGUGAGCAACCUGACCUUCAAGCGAGGAAUAAUGAGUGGAAACGCUCUGUAAUACCUCAUAACGAUUUUUUACCGCAUGAUAGGAAUACCAAAGAUUUAUCACUUGAAGAUGGGCUCGCGUCCGAUUAGCUAGUUGGUGAGGUAACGGCUCACCAAGGCGACGAUCGGUAGCCGUACUGAGAGGUAGAUCGGCCACAUUGGGACUGAGACACGGCCCAGACUCCUACGGGAGGCAGCAGUGGGGAAUAUUGCACAAUGGAGGAAACUCUGAUGCAGCCGAUGCCGCGUGAGCGAAGAAGGCCUUUUGGUUGUAAAGCUCUGUUAUCAGGGACGAAAAUGACGGUACCUGAGGAGGAAGCUCCGGCUAACUACGUGCCAGCAGCAGC
rnacentral:rRNA from 1 species